GCCUCCGCUCCCCGCUUGCGGUUCGCCCGGCAGCCGCCGAGCCGCGCGGCGCCACGAGAGCCCGGCCCGGGCCCCGGCGCCGCCACCUGCGCCCCCGGCCCCGCGCCAUGUUUGAGAAAGAGCAGGAGCGAGCCAGAGGCCGGGUCCGGCCCGCGCGCCCCGCAGUCGCCCGCCCGCCGCGCCGCCGCUCACCCGUCGCCCCCGGGAGCAGCGCCGCCGCCGCCGCCGCCGCCGCCGCCAGCACGAGGAGGAGCAGCCGGGGACGCGGAGCAGCGACCGCCGCCUCCAUGGUCCCGCCGCCACCGCCUGUGGCCCGGCCCGGCCCGGCCGCGCCGCUGCCUCACCCCAGCAAACCUCGCCUCGCCCCACCUCCCUAGCCGCCGCGGCGGCCUCGCUCCGGCCCUUUGUAACUGCUCGGAGGACGCGCGUCCAUUGGCUGCCGGGCUCCCGCCGGCCCCGCCUCCCCGCCGCCGCGAGCUGCCAAGCGGGACCCAGCCGGGAGCCCCGCCUGCGGGCCCGCCAGGCAGCCAAUCCGCAGCCGCGAGCGCCGGUUUCUGGCCACGCCCCACGCUCCCCGGGGGCUGGGCCGCCAGACCCCAGCCCCGGCCCGAUCGGCUCCCGGCUCCGAGAGGCCGCGUGGGGGCGGGGUCUGCCAGCCCCAGCACCGCUCAGCCGCUAGCCCCGGAGGGCCGGGUAGAGCGAUGGGUGUGUCUGUGUGAGUCUCUUUCGGAAAAAGGCUGUGGCCGUUCGACGCUCUUUUCUUCUAACCUCCUCUAGGCGCGGAAGAUCUGGUACUGCCUCAGCCCCACCCUGACCCCAUUCACAGCUCCGCAUUGGCAAUCCCAGCACAUGCCACCCAGAUCCGCUGCAGCGCCAGGCCCCUGCAUCCACUUCAACUUCCCCUCUCCAAGUCCACGCAUCAACUUCAGCAUUCCCCCGAAGAUCCCUCCUCAGUGCCCUUCACAUGCGACUCACUCUCCUAUUUCCUCCUGCUCCCAGCGGUCACCCCAAACCCAGCUCCCCCACCCAGUUCCAAACCCAGAAAGUCCUCAGAUCCCAGCGUCAGACCCAGAUCCUGAGCCCAAACACACCCCCAAAUAGCCUCCCGCCUCCCUCCAGCACAGAUCCAGGAUGGGGAUCCAAGCCGCACUCCUCUCAAACCCCUUCCCGAUCCAGGUUGGAAAGGGAGGAUCCCCACCCCAACCCCUCAAAGGAGGGGUUCCCCCUUCUUAGCACCCAGCUCCCGCGGGGCGGAGGGGGAGCAGUCAUCAUUACUUUGAGCUGUGUCUGACACUGCUGUAUAAUAAUCCUGAGGUGUCACUAAAAACCCAAAUAAACUCUACGUUUUCAUUCUGAAUUCCUAAUUUACUGCGAGACGCUCCACCCACCUUCCCUCUGCGACGCC
rnacentral:lncRNA from 1 species